GAUAGCUAACAAAAUUUCAAUGUUGAUGGGGGUCCCCAAGUUAGACCAGAAGAAGCUAUCAUCGAUGUACUGAGUUGUAGAAAUUGUGAUGUUAAAAACCCUCUCCGCGAUUGCAACUGAAGAAUCUUGUAUGAUUUGCAAGGAUGACACAACCUUGUCCGCAAUUGCAUUCGAAGAUUCUUGUUUGAUUUCCAAGAAGAAGGCUUUCAGUUGUCCAGGCCAGGCCAGGUGACCAAUGACGAUGAUAGAUUGGGUUCGAUUCAAGCUAUACGCUUGGUGUAUUUGGUUAUCGUGACUGGCGACUUGAGUCUAUCUCAUCUCAUGUCCAAAGCGCGGUGGCUGGGUCCCAGGCAUGCUUGCCACUUUGUUCUGCGGUCCUCAUCUAAGUUUCGACGGUGAUGACAUGGACUUAGGUUCAAAGUACGUGUUCCCUUUGAGUCAUUGUGGUUGAUUGAUGGGGGGAAUAGACAGUUGCGUGUCGCUAGUCAUUCAAUUGGUCCCCUUGUUUUAGAGUGUUGGCGGGAUAAGUCUUACGACUGUUAACAAUAGUAAGCAAUAGCUGGCCAGCGAUCCCCUACCUGAUCUCGAGGGGGAUGGAAUGACUGGGGUUAAGACCUGUUGUUAACCUGCGGAAUUUCGUCGGAUGAAAUGUCAGGCGUGUCCGUGUGGGACUUGUGCUGAACCUGUUUAGUACAAAUGACGAAGACAUUGGGCUCUUUGGAUAACAACAGUGUUCUUCACCUCCUUGUGCCUCACAAAGCUAAUAAUAUACACCCCCUGAAAUCGACAAGACGGCGAUGAAGAAGGAGAGCCGGCCUCCAACUCGUCAGCCGAGAAGACACUGGAUGGACCCCAAGAAGAUGUUGCUCCCAAUGUUGGAGCCAUACAGGGCAGCCCGAGCCAACAUUGUACAAGGGCCACAAGGACAAGGGACACAGGGACAAGGGACACAAAAGACGAUGUUGCAGUCUACAGGCCCUCUGCAGAUUGAGAUGAUGGCUGUCGAGAAGAUCCAACCACUCAACCACAGUCUACAAUUCGUGCUAUGGUAGAUGUGACUCUCAACGAUUUUGGAUGACAAAGGAAUCCAAUGCAUAUAUGUCGCUCACAGAUACGGGCAGACGACGGAGAUUCGAGUGGAUUCAGUGGAUCGAAUGGUUGCGCUGAGGGAUAUCCAUGUGCAGGAGUGAUGAACCACAGUUCAGCAAACGAUGCCUUGACAGACCAAUUCAAGGAGAACCUUCGCUAAGAUGAAGAAGGGAACGUGUUUACUGUGUGGAUGGGAAGGACACUUAAAUGUCCGUCAUUCUAAUAGACUAUUAUGACAAUAUUCUAAUUGACUAGAAUGACAAUCUUAACUCGAAAGGGACUCUCUGGACUUACAGAAAACUACGGACAUAGAGCCCUGACAUGAUACCCUGCAGCCACCAUGAGGACAGCCUAUCUCAUACCUACGGAAGGAUGCCAUCACACGCAUGAUGAGCCGUCCCACAGAAGGGAGAAGGAUGUUGUUGACCCAGCACAUCCCAACCAUGCUCCCAUCGCCGUCAAGUAACAGUACGACGGUUAGAUUGUAUUUUGUCACCGUAGGCUUUAUCGUUUUAUCAAAAUAUCUGAUUGAAAGGUGAUUUAAUGAAAAUUCAAAUUUUUCUGAUGGUGAGAAGGCAAAUAUUUACUCUGCUUAUGACAAGCAUAGAUUGUUUUAAUCUAUGUUUGGUUAUGAUCAUGACUUGUGCCAUGGUUCAAAAUCUUACACUUUUCAAAGAAGGGAUUGAAAUUAUCAUUAUGGCUUGUUUAUGGCUAACAAGGGAGCCAAUGAUAAGUCGCUCAAGAACCCAAACAAAAUAAUUUUCAAGCUAAGUUUUGUUCUUAAGAUAAGAAGGAAUAACAAUUUGGGGGAUGGGUUGUUUGUGGCUACCAGAGAAGCCAACAGCUGCCAGAUGAGGACCCUGAAAUUCUUUUCAGGCAAAAGUUAUUUGUAUGCUUAAAAAUCACCGAAUUCAUCAGAUAUUUACUGGUAUAUCCAUCACUUUUGACAUGGGGUCCAUGUGUUCUUGUUUCGCUGACCCCACGAAACAAGAACACAUGUGUCUGAUGGAACUGUAGGCCUUUCAUACUGUUUCUCAAUCUCAUCAGUACCACAGAAUCAACUGACAUGGCCUGGGCUCUGAUGCCCAUGACCUUACAUCACACUGGCUGGUUCAGUUGCUCAAUACAUGUACUAUCAUGCUCGAGACAAAUGACCAACAGUGAAUUGUUGAAUUUGAAUUUCCUCCUUGAAGAAAUACCAAAACAUCUUUCCUUGAACUAAAACAGUCAGAUUUAAAACUCUCACUGUUUUAUUCGAAAUUUAAAGACUGAUCCUUCCCUAGUGGUCACACUGUGAGCCGUUGUCAAAGCAUGUCAUUCGACAAUGGUGGCAUGCAUGCAUGUUUUGUUAUGGCUUACCAGGGACCCCAAAUUGUUGAUGAUGAUGUUGUCCAUGGGUACAUCACCUUGGGCAAUGAGUGAUCACAAUGGUUCCUUGAUGACAAUUUUUUACAUGAUACUGAAUUGAUUGAGAAAAGUGUAGCUUAAAAACGUCAACUUUUAGACGUUUUAAAACUUUUGUCCUGUAUGAAUGUAUUUGUAAAUCUUGCAUGUAAAUAUUUUGUAAAAUGUCUAAUGAGAUCUAGACUCCAUGACUUGGCAAAAA